CUUAACUUUUGUAUGUCUAAAGAAUAACUUCAGAUUCGGUUUUCUCGUCAUAAAAAGACACCAAUACAAAUUUCGACCGGUUUUAGUGCACAAUGCUAUGCAUCGUUCCAUGAUUGAAAAUUUAAUUGUUAUUUGCAGAGAUUCAGCAAAAAAAGUAUUAGAUGAUCAUAUUGAACAGCUAAAUUUCGAAGAUGACCCGGAAAAUUCUAUCAAACACAUUAACAAAUUCAUUGAAGAAAUAGCCAAAAACAAUAUCAAAGAUGCCCUGCAAGUGACAAAAUAAAAUUAAUACAGUUGGCUAUUGUAAACGCAGCAUAUUUCCAUGGACAAUGGGUAUGUAUUGGUAGUUUCUUUAUGGAUUUGAAAAUGUACAAUUUCAUUCGAUUUGAAUCCAUACUCUAGAUAUCAACAUUUGACAAAGGACAAUCGACAUUUUUUUAUCGAAAUGGUAUCGAACCGGUUGAUGUUGAAAUGAUGCACCGAGUUGGAAAAUUCAAAUAUGGUGCUAUAAAAAAUUGAAAAAAAAAAAAACGAUUUUCAAUGUAUGUCUUAAUGCCAGCCAAUACUCAAACAGCUAUCGAUGAAUUGCUUGGAAAAUUAACCGCACCAAUUUUAAAUUAUGUAUUCAAUGGUGUGGAUCGGGAAUCGACAGUCGCCGUUUCUCUUCCAAAGUUUUCAAUUGAUAAAGAUUCUGACUUAGAACCGGUACUGAAACAAAUGUACAGCAUAAAGCUGAAUAGAGCGAACAUAAAGCGCAUCGCGUCUGAGCGUUCAUAUAUAUAAGAUCUCAAGUGUAGCUACAAUUUAUUUGCUCUGAAAAUUUUACAAUAUGAAGUUCGUCGAAUUUUUGGUUUUUUUCGUUUUAUUUGGACAAUAUUGGGCAGACGCAGAUUUGCGCAUUUAUGGAGGAACGCAUUCUGAACACGUGCCAUAUAUGGCAUCUUUCCAACACGGACCCGACCCAUGCAUCGAACAAUCCAGUUGGCUUCCGCAGUUUUUUGGAGGUGCACCUUAUGGAAAUGUCAA